rnacentral:rRNA from 1 species
CCUACGGGAGUCAGCAGUGAGGAAUAUUGGUCAAUGGCCGGAAGGCUGAACCAGCCAUGCCGCGUGAAGGUCAGUGCCCUUUGGGCGUUAAACUUCUUUUGUGCGGGAGCAAUAAUGGUCAUGUGUGGCCAGACGAGAUUACCGUACGAAUAAGCAUCGGCUAACUCCGUGCCAGCAGCCGCGGUAAUGCGGGGGGUGCAAGUGUUAUCCGGAUUGAUUGGGUUUAAAGGGUGCGUAGGCUGGGAGGUAAGUCAGCGGGGAAAUGCCCCCGCUCAACGGGGUGAAGUGCCAUUGAUACUGCCUUGCUGGAAUGCGGAUGCCGUGGGAGGAAUGUGUGGUGUAGCAGUGAAAUGCAUAGAUAUCA